UCCGGUCCGGUCCAGUCUGGUCUGGUCUGAAAUGGUCCGGUCUGGACCGGUCCGGUCCGGUCCAGUCCGGUCCCUGCUGUAUGUUCGGUUGGAUGAAGGUUGGACUUGUGGUCUCUGCCCCCUCACCCAGGCCUGGUUUCAGCUGUUGGUCGGACCGUUGAGGGUCCCGUUGAUCCGUUUUGCUCCCAUCAGCCUUCGGGUUGAUUCGCUCGUCAUCGUCAGAAGUCUUCGUCUCUGAGAGUUGAUGUUAGAAACUAAAACCAGGAGAAAUACUUCAUGGUUUUACUGCAGAGUUCUGACUAAAUGUCCCGCUCUGCCAGAUAUCUUCAUUUCUCUUGCUGAUGAGUUUCAUGAGGUGAAAACAUUAAACUUUAACAGAGACAACAGAACCCGGUCCUGUUGGAACCGUCACUUUGACCAUAAAUAAUUCAGUUGUGACUUUAGUGAACUGAACAGUGAACCAGUUCUUUCUAAGAGUGAAUCGUAAGUCUGAGGCGUUCAGGGUGUAAGGGAGGAAGUGCUCUCCUCUCCAGACUCCCUGGAUCGGUUUGUACGAUGACGUCCGACUCCGACUUCUACCAACAAGACGAGGAGAAGUUCAGGAACUGGGCGUCCGGAGAACCAAACAAUAACUAUGGAAGAGAGAACAGCGCUGAGAUGUGUGGAGACGGACGCUGGAAUGACGGAUUCUGUUAUCGAACUCGAAGUUCCAUCUGCUUUGAUGUCAAAGGGACAAACAUGACCUGGAUGGAGGCUCGGCGGUACUGCAGGGGGCACCACACCGACCUGGCCGGCGUCAGGAACCUGGCAGAGAACCGGCAGCUGCAGGUCCUGGUGCCGACCGGGCAACGGGUCUGGAUCGGCCCGUGCAGAGAGUCCUGGAAGUGGUCGGAUGGAAGCGGCUCGGCUUUUAGCUUCUGGAUGUUUGGAGAACCCAAUAAUACCAGGCAGAACUGAACCGCGGCGAACAUGAAAGAUUCUGGAAGAUGGCAAAACUUUUACUGCACACAAAAGAAAUCAUCAGUUUGCUCUGCAGAUCCAUUUUUAAAGCAAGUGAAGCUGAAGGUGAUGAGAAGUUUCUCUGUGGAUCUGAACGACCCGGACCUGCUGACGAAGCUCGAUCAGUUUUCUGUCUUUAUUUACCGAUAAAUAAAGACGCAGUACCUGAAAUGACCACACGGGGGCGGUGUGGUGAAAGCCGAUGAAGCAGAAGCUGAGGGAGCAGGAAGUGAGCGGAGACAUCAGACUGAGCUGGAGGAAGCAGAAAGAUGGAAAAAUCUUCCAGAGACACGAAGAGAAAAUCAGGAGGAAGAAGAACGAUGAGCUUUAGACGAUCUGCUCCUGCAGAUGAAACGUGGCUUCAGAAGUCUGUCUCAUAAAGCAGGAGGAGUUUAUGCACCACAGGAAGCAGCUAUUUAAAGAUUAAGAUGUUGGUUUGUGAAUGUUAUUAAUCUGUAUAAAUGUAGCAGAACCGACAUGAGAUUCUGUUCAAUAAAAUCAGGUCUGAUGGAAACCAG